rnacentral:rRNA from 1 species
AACGAACGCUGGCGGCAUGCCUAACACAUGCAAGUCGAACGAGACCUUCGGGUCUAGUGGCGCACGGGUGCGUAACGCGUGGGAACCUUCCCUUAGGUUCGGAAUAACUCCCCGAAAGGGGUGCUAAUACCGGAUAAUGUCUUCGGACCAAAGAUUUAUCGCCUUUGGAUGGGCCCGCGUUGGAUUAGCUAGUUGGUAGGGUAAAAGCCUACCAAGGCGACGAUCCAUAGCUGGUCUGAGAGGAUGAUCAGCCACACUGGGACUGAGACACGGCCCAGACUCCUCCGGGAGGCAGCAGUGGGGAAUAGUGGACCAUGGGCGAAAGCCUGAUCCAGCAAUGCCGCGUGAGUGAUGAAGGCCUUAGGGUUGUAAAGCUCUUUUACCCGGGAUGAUAAUGACAGUACCGGGAGAAUAAGCGCCGGCUAACUCCGUG